GAUUAAGAUUUUUAAUUAUUAAUUUUUGAUAUCAUGUCUAUAUAUAUAUAUUGAUUGACUUAUACUUUUAGAAAUUGUUUCAUGGUUUGCCCAAACUAAAAUAUAUCUUUGCCUAUGUCAUAACCAUGAAAUACACAAGUUUAUGCUUAAAAUUUUGAUUUAAAAUAACUUGUGAGAAAUUAUGAAUCCUUGAGCACAAUGAAAAUGUUGUUUGCAUGAUAUACAUCUAUAUGAUACAUAAGAUUAUUUCUUUAUUCUGCUCUUU
rnacentral:lncRNA from 1 species